rnacentral:misc_RNA from 1 species
CGUUUCCCCGUGAACGGC